GAGAGUUCAAGAGUACGUGAAACCGCAUAGAGCCAAACGGGUGGAUCCGCAGAGUCGACCCGGGGAAUUCAGCCCGGCCGCCAGCGGCGCUCGCAAAGUUCGGAUCCGCAAGGACCGGGCCAGCGGGACGUCCGCGUGGCUGUGGUGCACUUUCUCCGCGGUCGAGUGCUACGACCGGUUUCGAGGCGGUCAGAAGCCCGGCGGAAAGGUAGCGCCGCCCUUCGGGAUGUCGUGUUAUAGGCCGCCGCGGUGGACUCGCCGCGAGACCGAGGACGCUUGCCGCGCCGAGCGGUCCCGGGCCGUCUUGGGAGGUUCGACCUCGGCUGCACUGCUCCGCAGAGCACCGUAACCGCCGCCCUAGCACGGGUCCGGAGACUGCCGGCGCCUCGGGUCAGUAGCGAAUCGGUCGGUCCUCCACCCGACCCGUCUUGAAACACGGACCAAGGAGUCUAACA
rnacentral:rRNA from 1 species